CAGAACAAGAUGAAGUUCACUCUAUUUGCUGCCUUUCUUUUCUCUAUAGAAUGGAGUGUUGUGGUAGCAGGUGAUGGACGUCCAGUACCCUGCUGUCUUACUGUGUCAGGCACCAAUAUACGAGCUGACUACAUUGUGCGUUAUACUAUGCAAGAUCAACCGCUAUGUCCUAUCAGAGCUAUUCCACACCAAGAAAAACAAAGUUAUUUGUUCAGAUCGUGAUAACAACUGGGCUAAGAAUGCGAUGAGGAUAGUGGAUGGGAGAAAGAAAACAAAACCUUCCCAAAAACCUACUAUGUGCUAUUCAAGUACAACAAACAUUAUCCCAACUGUAAAUACAACAAACAAAACACCAGGAACAGAGACGGAGACCAGCACAAGUAUAACUGUAACACCAAAAGUGACGACAGUCAAAACAUCUGGUUUUAGUAACUUUCACUCACCUGAAAUGUAGAGAAGUUGAGCCGAUAUAGUAGCUAAUGAGAGAGUGCACACGUGUUUAUAUCUUAUACUGUGAAUAUAAUGAUCACUCACCUCAAUACAAUGAUGUUCUUCUUCAACAGGUGAUGGACGUUUAGUAGACUGCUGUGAUACUGUGACAAACACCAGAAUACCAGUUGAAAAAAUUUUGCAUUAUGACAUGCAAGAAACAAAUCUAUGUCCUGCCAGAGCUAUUUCACACCAAGAAAAACAUAACUAUUUGUUCAGAUCCAGACAGCAUAUGGGCUAAAAAAGCGAAGGCGAUAGUGGAUGGGAGAACAACGAUCAAAACAUCUGGACCGGAGACAGAGAUCAACAAAACAACCAUACAACCAACUUCAGUGUCCAGAGACAGCCCAGAAUCUUCUCUGAGUACUACGACAUUUACAUCAUCUACAACCAAGGACUGCUGCUUAGCAGUAACAAAAAACAAACCAGCAUUUCAUGAAAUUGUGGACUACAGAGUUCAAGAAACACCACUUUGCUCUAUCAGAGCUGUGCUAUUCAUAACUGUGGGGAACAGCAAAAUUUGCUCUUCUCCAGUAGAAGACUGGGUCCAGGAUUACAUACAGAACUUGAACAGAAGGAAAAAAACUAUAGACAAGAGAGAGUUUGCCAUCAAAAGAAUAAAAGACUCCAACACCAAUAAUUACUUUUGUCUAAAGAAGGAACAAUCUAAAUACUUUUGCUUCAAACAGCCUUGAAACAUCUGUUGGAAAAGCUUGGCCAACUUGUUAUGCCUGUAUACUGAUAAUACCAGGAUAACUGAACAACUUCUAAGUCUAAUAAACGAAUAAGGUGAUGCUAGUGAAAAAUCAGCACUGUGGUUUCAGUCACAUUGUCAUAUUUGUAUUCAUGUUUUGUGCGAUGACUUCUAUUUUGUGUAUUGCCUUUUAUUAAUUUACUUAAUUUAAAAUCAAUGUAAGUAUCCAAAAAUAAUUUAACUAGUAACACAAAAUCUUAGGCUGAUGAUACAAGGGGCAACGUUUUUUGAGCAAUGU